AACGAACGCUGGCGGCAGGCUUAACACAUGCAAGUCGAACGCCCCGCAAGGGGAGUGGCAGACGGGUGAGUAACGCGUGGGAACAUACCCUUUCCUGCGGAAUAGCCCCGGGAAACUGGAAUUAAUACCGCAUACGCCCUACGGGGGAAAGAUUUAUCGGGGAAGGAUUGGCCCGCGUUGGAUUAGCUAGUUGGUGGGGUAAAGGCCUACCAAGGCGACGAUCCAUAGCUGGUCUGAGAGGAUGAUCAGCCACAUUGGGACUGAGACACGGCCCAAACUCCUACGGGAGGCAGCAGUGGGGAAUAUUGGACAAUGGGCGCAAGCCUGAUCCAGCCAUGCCGCGUGAGUGAUGAAGGCCUUAGGGUUGUAAAGCUCUUUCACCGAUGAAGAUAAUGACGGUAGUCGGAGAAGAAGCCCCGGCUAACUUCGUG
rnacentral:rRNA from 1 species